rnacentral:lncRNA from 13 species
UUGGAAGUAACUAUUUUUUUUUUUUUGAGACGGAGUUUUAAUCUUGUUACCCAGGCUGGAGUGCAAUGGCGUGAUCUCGGCUCACUGCAACCUCCGCCUCCUGGGUUCAGGCAAUUCUCCUGCCUCAGCCUCCUGAGUAGCUGGGAUUACAGGCAUGUGCCACCAUGCUCAGCUAAUCUUUUGUAUCUUUAGUAGAGACGGGGUUUCACCAUUUUGACCAGGAUGGUCUUGAUCUCUUGACCUCGUGAUCCACCCGCCUUGGCCUCCCAAAGUUCAGGGAUUACAGGUGGAAGUAAGCAAUUUUAAAAAAAUUUUACAGCAUUAUAGGUGGAAAGAAUUUGCCAUCUCAGAUGAGACUUGGACUUGGACUUUUGAGUUAAUGCUGGAAUGAGUUAAGCUUUAUGAGACUGUUAGGAAGGCAUUAUUGGUUUUGAAAUGUGAGUAGUACAUGAGAUUUGGGAGUGUCCAGAAUUUGAAUAGUAUGGUCUUACUCUUUGUCCCCAUGCAAAUCUCACCUUGGAUUAUACUCCCCACAUGUCAAGGAACAGGCCUGGUGGGAGGUGAUUAAAUAAUGGUGGUGGUUAUUAUCUCAUGAAAGUAAGUUAGUUCUCAUGAAAUUUGGUUGUUUCAAACUGUGUAGCACUUUCUGCUUUGCUCUCUUUCUCUCCUACCACCAUGUAAGAUGUGCCCUGAUUCCCCUUCACCUUCAAUUGUAUGUUUCCUGAGGAUUACACAGCCAUGCAGAACUACAGAGUCCCGCUCUGUCACCAGGCUGGAGUGCAGUGGUGUGAUCUCAGCUCAGUGCAACCUUGGCCUCCUGGGUGCAAGUGAUUCUCCUGCCUUAGCCACCCAAACAGCUGGGACUACAGGUGUGUGCCUCCAUACCCAGCUAAUUUUUUGUACUUUUAGUAGAGACAUCUCUGGAUCCUGUGAUCCCACCUCGGCCUCCCAAAGUGCUGGGAUUAUAGGUAUGAGCCACCAAGCUUAUUUUUGCUUUUUUUGCAAUCUCUGUGAAUUUUAUUUAUUUUUCUUACCUUGUUGUUCUGGCUAGAAUUUGCAAUGAGAUAGCGAGUGUCCCCAGUCCUAUGGGAAACAUGACAGUAUUUCUACUUUAAGUGUUUGGGCCUGGAGUUUUAAUCCUGGGAAGGCUUUUCAAUACAAAUUUAAUUGUUUUAAUUGGUAUAAGAUUAUUCGCAAUUUCUUUUUUUCUUUUUUUUUUUUUGAGACGGAGUUUCACUCUUGUUAUCCAGGCUGGAGUGCAAUGGCACUAUCUCGGCUCACAGCAACCUCCACCUCCUGGGUUCAGGCAAUUCUCCUGCCUCAGCCUCCUGAGUAGCUGGGAUUACAGGCAUGCGCCACCAUGCCCAGCUAUUUUUUUGUAUUUUUAGUAGAGAUGGAGUUUCACCAUGUUGACCAGGAUGGUCUGGAUCUCUUGACCUCGUGAUCCACCCACCUCGGCCUCCCAAAGUGCUGGGAUUACAGGCUUGAGCCACCGCGCCUGGCCCACAAUUUCUAUUACGUCUUGAUGCAGCUUGGCAUAACAUUUUGUCUUUAAAGAGG